AUGGAUUAUCUGGAAAUAAGUAGGAUCCCACUAAACAAACAUACAAAUGAUGGCUCCUCUUCGCUGAAUCACACUUCGUACAUAGCCCAAGCAAGCAGAGGACUGGACGAGAUCAAGCAACAUGUUCCGUGCGAUGCAGGUCAUCCUCAGUUGCAGUGGGGAGAGCCGUCGUGCUGCGCCGCGGUGGUGGCUGGCCUCAUCGGCCAAUGCGGCUACUCCACUGCCUUGAGCUCCCAGAGGUUGGCCAGGAAGGUGGCCGUGAUCACCGGCGCCGCUAGCGGCAUUGGCAAGGCGACAAUGGUGGAGUUCGUCAGGAACGGCGCCAAGGUCGUCCUCGCAGACGUCCAGGACGAUCUGGGCCGUGCCCUGGCGGCUGAGCUCUGCGCCGACUCCACGUCGUACAGCCGCUGCGACGUCAACGACGAGGCGCAGGUCGCCGCGGUGAUCGACCUUGAUGUGGCCUGCCACGGCAAGCUGGACAUCAUGCUCAACAACACCGGCAUCAUGGGCUCGUUGGCGCAGCCCGAGCUGGGCGCGCUUGACCUCGCGGACUUCGACGCCGUCAUAGCGAUCAACAACUGGGCGUCAUGGCCGGGGUCAAGCACGUGGCCUGCGCCAUGGCGCCGCGCCGCACGGGCAGUAUCAUCUGCACGGCCAGCAUCGCCGCUGGAGCAGCGAGCCAUGCCCUGCGUCGCCAAUGGUUUGUCUUUUUUUCUGGAGAAGACAGUGUACACGAGGAUACGUUGGUGGCGAGGUGGGUUCCCGGUGGGCUAA
rnacentral:rRNA from 1 species